rnacentral:rRNA from 1 species
GAUGAACGCUGGCGGCGUGCCUAACACAUGCAAGUCGAGCGAGGGUUUGCUCAGUAUUGAGUAUUCUAAGACUAGAAUGUUCAAUUCUGAGCAAAACCAAGCGGCGGACGGGUGAGUAACGCGUGGGUAACCUGCCCUAUACACAUGGAUAACAUACUGGAAAGUUUACUAAUACAUGAUAAUAUAUAUUUGCGGCAUCGCAGAUAUAUCAAAGUGUUAGCGGUAUAGGAUGGACCCGCGUCUGAUUAGCUAGUUGGUGAGAUAACUGCCCACCAAGGCGACGAUCAGUAGCCGACCUGAGAGGGUGAUCGGCCACAUUGGAACUGAGACACGGUCCAAACUCCUACGGGAGGCAGCAGUGGGGAAUAUUGCACAAUGGGCGAAAGCCUGAUGCAGCAACGCCGCGUGAACGAUGAAGGUCUUCGGAUCGUAAAGUUCUGUUGCAGGGGAAGAUAAUGACGGUACCCUGUGAGGAAGCCCCGGCUAACUACGUGCCAGCAGCCGCGGUAAUACGUAUGGGGCUAGCGUUAUCCGGAUUUACUGGGCGUAAAGGGUGCGUAGGUGGUCCUUCAAGUCGGUGGUUAAAGGCUACGGCUCAACCGUAGUAAGCCGCCGAAACUGGAGGACUUGAGUGCAGGAGAGGAAAGUGGAAUUCCCAGUGUAGCGGUGAAAUGCGUAGAUAUUGGGAGGAACACCAGUAGCGAAGGCGGCUUUCUGGACUGCAACUGACACUGAGGCACGAAAGCGUGGGUAGCAAACAGG